rnacentral:rRNA from 1 species
UACGAAGGGGACUAGCGUUGUUCGGAUUUACUGGGCGUAAAGCGCACGUAGGCGGAUUCUUAAGUCAGGGGUGAAAUCCUGGAGCUCAACUCCAGAACUGCCUUUGAUACUGGGAAUCUCGAGUCCGGGAGAGGUGAGUGGAACUGCGAGUGUAGAGGUGAAAUUCGUAGAUAUUCGCAAGAACACCAGUGGCGAAGGCGGCUCACUGGCCCGGUACUGACGCUGAGGUGCGAAAGCGUGGGGAGCAAACAG